GACGAACGCUGGCGGCGUGCUUAACACAUGCAAGUCGAACGCUGAAGCCCAGCUUUUGUUGGGUGGAUGAGUGGCGAACGGGUGAGUAACACGUGAGUAACCUGCCCCCUUCUUUGGGAUAACGCCCGGAAACGGGUGCUAAUACUGGAUAUUCACUGAUCUUCGCAUGGGGGUUGGUGGAAAGGGUUUUUUCUGGUGGGGGAUGGGCUCGCGGCCUAUCAGCUUGUUGGUGGGGUGAUGGCCUACCAGGGCUUUGACGGGUAGCCGGCCUGAGAGGGUGACCGGUCACAUUGGGACUGAGAUACGGCCCAGACUCCUACGGGAGGCAGCAGUGGGGAAUAUUGCACAAUGGGCGAAAGCCUGAUGCAGCGACGCCGCGUGAGGGAUGGAGGCCUUCGGGUUGUAAACCUCUUUCGCUCAUGGUCAAGCCGCAGCUUUGGGUUGUGGUGAGGGUAGUGGGUAAAGAAGCGCCGGCUAACUACGUGCCAGCAUCCGCGGUAAUACGUAGGGCUCGAGCGUUGUCCGGAAUUAUUGGGCGUAAAGGGCUUGUAUGCGGUUGGUCGCGUCUGCCGUGAAAUCGUCUGGUGUACUGGGGGGCGUGCGGUGGGUACGGUCUGACUUGAGUGCGGUAGGGGGAGACUGGAACUCCUGGUGUAGCGGUGAAAUGCACGUAUAUGAAGUAAAAAACCGGUGGGCGAAUGCGGGUCUCUUGUGCUGUACUGGACGCUUAUGAGGAAGCGUGUGUGAGCAUGAUGAAUAUGUGCCCUGGUAGUGCUGUGGCGAGUUUCGCGUGGGUUUGAAGUUUUUGGUUUCCGUCAAGCAAUAAAAAAAGAGUCAUGUAACUUUGUGUUGUCGGUCAUGGAUUGUAAUUAGUAGGUUGUUGUGGUGUUGUUUGG
rnacentral:rRNA from 1 species